UAGCGAGGGGGGCAAGCGUUUGUUCGGAAUUAUUGGGCGUAAAGGGUGCGUAGGCGGUCUGAUAAGUCAUCUGUGAAAUCUAUGGGCUCAACCCAUAGUCUGCAGGCGAAACUGUCGGGCUUGAGUAUGGGAGAGGUGAGUGGAAUUUCCGGUGUAGCGGUGAAAUGCGUAGAUAUCGGAAGGAACACCUGUGGCGAAAGCGGCUCACUGGACCAUUACUGACGCUGAUGCACGAAAGCUAGGGGGAGCAAACAGG
rnacentral:rRNA from 1 species